UAAAAUGUAACAGCAUUGGCGGGAGCAGCACGAACUAAUACGGGUACAAAGCCUCUAUAAAAGCCUCGGAGGCCAGCUUUGGUGUAAAUACCUUUGGCGCAUUGCCAAGAAUUUUUGUACGUGGCUUUACUUAAAAAGCCAUCCGUUUGAAUUUUGGAUUUGACGAUAUCAAAGGGAUAUGCAGCUAGCCACAUUGCAUAACCAGCACCGGCGCCAAACACGCAAAGUUUCCAACCUGGGGUUUGUGAUCGAUCGGUCAAAUGAUGCUUGGCCAUUGUGUUUUUCACCAGAGCUUCAUAAGCCAAAAAAUACAUUCCAAGGCCAUGAGCCUCACGAGCGGCAGUAGGGUUGUAACCCUUCAUGAUGCCACUAAGACCAUAUUGCGAAGAAAUCUUUUUGAUACAAUCCCAAGGACCAUGGUACAAAACAUUUUUGCCCGUCUGGAUUUGAAGGCGAAUACGGACAUGCUCUACGGGACCCACCAAAAAAGAAUUCGCCAAGCCGGAAAUAGCACCGGAAACAUAAUACUGAGGCAUGGUCACGGGAGUACCGUCUCGAGAAAAGAAACGUUUACAAUAUUCAAAGGUGGUAAACUGAAUGGAAACGCAAAAUCCAAUUCCCAAAAGUGGUAAAACGGUCCCUUUGUAAAAGGCGGCUAAACCCUCGUUUUUGGAAAUUUUUUUUACACAAUCGAGAGCAUUGUUGUAGAUGGGGGAAACAUUACUCUGUGAUUGCAAACGAACCUUGACACAAUCAAAUGGCUGUCCAACAAGGACCUGGGCGACGCCGCCAGACACACCUGCCAAGAAAUCUUUAGUCUAAACAAGUUAGUAGAGGAAGGGGAAGAUGAAGGAGAUUCAUAAAUGCAGUGUUUUCAUCAUUUUGGAGGGAGCAAAACAAGAAAAAGUAAAAAGAUACGAAAGAAAAAACUAGUAUUGCCAAUAAGUUUUUAUCACCUUUUUCGUGCAUUAGGGCAUUAAACAGGAAACAAAAGAAAGGAUUAUGGAGAAGAAGAAGAAGGAAAAAUAUAAUAAAAAAAAAAGAAACAAACAAACAAAAAAAAAGAAAAAAUAAAGAAUGAAAGAAACAAAAACCUGAAGAAAAGAAAGAAUGAAUAAAACUAAACCCCUUUCCCUAAAAAAAUAAUCAACGCUGCAUUUUUUGUCGGAUAAAAAUCAAACUAAAUGAAAAAUAUCCACUUCAACCACACUUUACAUACCGAUUGCGAAAGAGCGCCCUCUGGUAUAACUGGUUCCAUCUACAAACAAAGGCACUGCGGUGUUAAAGCCAAGUUGAAAAUGGCGAACCUGCGAGCCUGAAAAUUGCUUUUUCAACGGACAUUUAGCUUAACGGUCGCGAAAUCAAAUUAGCGACUUGUUCACACACACUAUAUCCACUUAUCACAUCCACUUUACAGAUUAGAUAGCAAGUAGGCAGGCAAAUAACAAAGUCGAAUGCACAACGCAAUUUCCG